UAGUUGAUAACAAUUAGUUAGAUCAUUCAAGAAGAGAAAUUAAGGGGGUUAGGGGUUUCAUCAAAUUUUGGGUCUUCUUCAAAUCCUCCAUCCCUUAUUGGAUAUGGUAUUUAUAAAAGUUCUAACAAAUUGUACUAGGGGUUUCAUAAAAUUCUGAGGGUUUUAGACCUGGUGGGAUUUGGUGGGUUUUAGAGAUUUGAUGGAGAUUUUGAUGGGGGAUUUGAUAGAGUUUUGAUGGGGGAUUUGAUACAAUUUUAAGUUUUUAACAAAAAAAAAUCAAUAUGCUGCUACAAUUGCUUCUCACCAGUUUCUCAUCGUCUAAAAAUUCAAUAUGUUGUUUUGUUGCAUCAGGUUUUUGACAGAUGGGAUAAGGUGGUAAUGAAUUG
rnacentral:lncRNA from 1 species